rnacentral:rRNA from 1 species
UACAGAGGUCUCAAGCGUUGUUCGGAUUCAUUGGGCGUAAAGGGUGCGUAGGUGGCGCGGUAAGUCGGGUGUGAAAUCUCGGAGCUUAACUCCGAAAUUGCAUUCGAUACUGCCGUGCUCGAGGACUGGAGAGGAGACUGGAAUUCAUGGUGUAGCAGUGAAAUGCGUAGAGAUCAGGAAGAACACCCGUGGCGAAGGCGGCCCACUGGGCCGGAACUGACCGCUGGAGGCGACGAAGGCGUGGGGAGGCGAACGGGA